GACGAACGCUGGCGGCGUGCUUAACACAUGCAAGUCGAACGGAAAGGCCCUGCUUUUGUGGGGUGCUCGAGUGGCGAACGGGUGAGUAACACGUGAGUAACCUGCCCUUGACUUUGGGAUAACUUCAGGAAACUGGGGCUAAUACCGGAUAGGAGCUCCUGCUGCAUGGUGGGGGUUGGAAAGUUUCGGCGGUUGGGGAUGGACUCGCGGCUUAUCAGCUUGUUGGUGGGGUAGUGGCUUACCAAGGCUUUGACGGGUAGCCGGCCUGAGAGGGUGACCGGCCACAUUGGGACUGAGAUACGGCCCAGACUGCUACGGGAGGCAGCAGUGGGGAAUAUUGCACAAUGGGCGGAAGCCUGAUGCAGCAACGCCGCGUGCGGGAGGACGGCCUUCGGGUUGUAAACCGCUUUCGCCUGUGACGAAGCGUGAGUGACGGUAAUGGGUAAAGAAGCACCGGCUAACUACGU
rnacentral:rRNA from 1 species